GACGAACGCUGGCGGCGUGCUUAACACAUGCAAGUCGAACGGAAAGGCCCUGCUUUUGUGGGGUGCUCGAGUGGCGAACGGGUGAGUAACACGUGAGUAACCUGCCCUUGACUUUGGGAUAACUUCAGGAAACUGGGGCUAAUACCGGAUAGGAGCUCCUGCUGCAUGGUGGGGGUUGGAAAGUUUCGGCGGUUGGGGAUGGACUCGCGGCUUAUCAGCUUGUUGGUGGGGUAGUGGCUUACCAAGGCUUUGACGGGUAGCCGGCCUGAGAGGGUGACCGGGGAGAGGGGGAGGGAGGUGCGGAGCAGGCGGCGGCGGGAGGCAGCAGGGGGGAGUGGGGCACGAGGGGCGGAAGGCUGAUGAAGCAGUGCCGCGGGGGGGAUGAGGGCGGGCGGGUGGGAAACAGCGUACGCCGGGGAAGAAGAGUGAGGGAAGGGAAGGGGUAAGGAAGAAAAGGCGAAUCAAGGG
rnacentral:rRNA from 1 species